GGGACCAGCUGGACCAGCAGGACCACCAGGACCACCAGGACCAGCUGGAACCAGACCGUCUCCUUCUGCUUCGCUGGCAAACACUUUUCUCAGCCAGCCGAGCACCAGCUCCAGCCACUGCUCAAACACAAUCAGACAGUAACAACUGGUCCGGCCCACUUGAGAUCAAACUGGGCUGAAUGUGGCAUCUGAACUAAAUGAGUCUGACACCCUGCUUUAGAUGCUUCACCUCCUGGAACUCGAGCAGGAAGGAGCGCUCGUACUCGCCCCGGCAGUGCUGCUCCAUUCGCUGCUCGAUGAGCUUGUGGAGGAUGGAGGUGACGGCCUCGGAGCUCACCCACUCCAGCAGCUGCAGUCUGGACCUGCAGACACAGAAAACAACAACAAUCCAUCUGAUCUCAGUCAAGUCAAACUGAAAACAACAACAGGCACCAACGCACAAGCAGGAGGACGAUGUUUACUGUUCAUUAGCAGCUAGCCAGGUUUAUUUUAGCUCCUUUACAGUACACAUGUGUGGCUGAGCUCUUGCAGUAGUUCCAGAGCCUCCUGACACCAGCACUGGGACGUCUGGACUCCACAUCCCGGGCAGGACCCUCCUUCUUGGCCCUCGGGGGCCUCGGCUCCGUCCUCGUCUCCGCCCUCCUGCUUCAU